rnacentral:lncRNA from 1 species
GCUCCUGGCAAAGACUCGGUCCUUCUGGAAUCUUGUAACGGUUCUAACAGCUGGGUGCGGGUGGAGCUGCGGGCGAUCGCCAGCUCGAGUGCAGAUUCCUUGCUGUGACCGAGGUUCAGAGUGAGCUCUGUCGGUGUGUCAGUUUGCCUCUUCAGGCCCAGUGGAGCAGGCAGCAAGUAAAGGAGGAGCUGGCCACCUGGCUGCGACCAUUGACACUGCCUGAGCUACAGCGCUGCCUGGGCAUUGUUGGUGCUCAGGUGGCCCUAGAAGAGGCUGUGUGGCUGGAUGGACUUAGUCUCCUUCCCUUGGCACUGGCAGCGGACAUCCCUGUACGGUAUGAAAGCAGUGACACUGACAAUGCAGAGGUGGAGCCUGUUGGAAGAAAAGAGACCAGGUCUCAGCUUGACUAUGAAGUUCCCAGGGAAAAGGCCUUCCAAAAGAGCAGCACCGGCUUUUCACCUGAGACUUCCUUCCUGGAUAGCCAGGUGAUGACUGCUCUGAAGAUGGAGAGAUACCUGAAGAAGAUCCACUUCCUCUAUCUCAAUGUGGCUCCCAGCCGGUACUUUAGGUGAUAGCCUAUGUCCAGGCCCCUUCUCCUCCCCCUGCCUGGUUUCCUUCUAUGCUAUCUUCCCCCUCCUCUUUCUCCACGUGCGCACCCUUCUCCCUGUCCUUUCUCCACAUACUCCUCCUCUGACUCUAGUGUCCCUCUCUCUUCCCUUCUCCUCAGCCUCCUCCUCCUUUCCACUCUCUACCUCCCCUUCACUCCCUGUUGCUUACACAGCCUUUUGUCUUACACAUCCUUUUCUCACAUUUUGCUCUUUCUUUUUUAUUCUAUCCUAGAAUGAUAGAAACAUUUGUUCACAGCCUUAGAAGUAAAUUUUAUGGUGAUCUAUUCCAACUCCAAUGGAAGAAACAUGUGUUUGUUUAAAUCUUUACAGUGUCAGGAAAAUUUUUUUCCAGGUAUCUUGUUCCUUAGACUGAAUCAAAAUCUGCAUUCUUUUAACUUCUACCUCCUGGCUCUAGUUUAUCUAUGGGGCUAUAAAAACAGGUCUCCUCCUUCCCCAUGACUCAAGAGACAUUUAUUCACUUCCUCUCAUUAGAUCCAAAUCACACCUACUUUUAAAAAUUUCUUCUUAUUAUUUUGAAGCAAGGGCUCACUCUGUCACCCAGGCUGGAGUGCAGUGGCACAAUCAUGGCUCACUGCAGUCUCAAUCUCUCUGGCUCAAGCAAUCCUCUCACUUCAGCCUCCUGAGUAGCUGGGAUUACAGGCAUGAAUCACCACACUCGGCCAGUUUUCUAAAAUUUAUUUUUUGUAGAAUGAGGUCUCACUGUGUUGCCAGGCUGGUCUCAAACUCCUGGGUUCAAGCCUCAGCCUGCCAAAUUGCCAGAAUUACAGGCAUGAGCCACCAUGCCUGGCUCAAAUCCUCGCCUAUUUUAAAAAGCCCUAUUCAAGUCCAUCUCCUCCCAGAAAUAAUUGUAAUAAUUGCCUUUAACCAAACUCUUCAAUAUAUUAGGCAUUGUGCUAAUAAACUCAUGACAUGUGUUACUUAAUCCUCAUCUACCAGGUAGGUGCUAUUAUUAUUUCUAUAUAUGAGAUGAGUGGACUGAUACAUAAGAGAGGUUAAGUAAUUUAUCCAAAGCUACAUAAUAAAUGGUGUAACUAGGAUUUAAACCUAGGACUAUCUUAAUCCAAAAGUUCAUGCUCUUAAGCAGUAUCUAAUACAGCCUCCCAAAUAACCUUAUUUCCUGUGCACACUGAUCUCUUGAACUUAGGUAGCACUAAUGAUCAAUAUCAUUCAUUCAUUUACUGAUCAAUUCAUUUAAUAAAUGUUCACUGAGAGC